rnacentral:lncRNA from 1 species
AAUGCAUUUGGCCUAUCUUCAUAGGAAGAAUAAUUAGACUCUACUUUUUGUGGCAAUAGUGUAUAAGAAAUUGCAGGCACCAUUUUUUUUUUUUUUUCCGAAGUCUCCAACUGAUUUCUUGUAUUCUUUGAGUGUCUCACAGACAUUUCUACCCAUCCCAUUCCUCAUUCUAUUUUAGGGUAUAAUACCACAAUUGACCCACUUGCUCAAGCUGGGAAUUAGGUGUCAAACUUGGUUCCUUCCAGUAAGUUUUGAUAAUUCUAUAUCUAAAUAUAUCUUGAAUCCAGGUAGGCUGGUACAUUUUACUUAGUCUUCUUUCAAAUAUUGUCCCACACAAUAUACUUCAACAGUGAAAGAAUAACCUAUCUAUGUUGCCUUGGUAUUAAUUGAAAAACCUGGUGAAAACAUUAUGUUUGAACAUAUCUUCUGGACUCUGAACAUGUUUGCAACUGGCUAAAAUUAUGACAGUUCUUUUUGGCAAAUGGAAUAAUUAUUUGACCUAAAUGUCCUUCAAGGACUUUGGCAAAACAUGGUAAGGUUUUCAAAUAAUUAUCAUUUAGUAAACCUUUUUUUGUGUGUGUGUUUGCUAAGUACUUUGUCUUGUUUUAUUCUAAUAUGGAGAAGCCAAGAUAAAUAGGUAGCUUUUCAAACAUUUUUUUUUUGCAUUUUUUUUUUUUUUACAUUUAAUGGGGCUAGGAGAAAAUUAUUUUCUGUUAAUUAAAAUUAUAUAAUAGUUUUUGGUGAAGAAAUUUUUUUCUUAACCAUCAUGAGCUCUAAGUUGGGAUGGCUCUCUGUAACAAAAGACAUUAACAAUAAAAAAGUUUUUAAUGUGUGCAGUGCAUGUUAUGCAGGAGAUACUUCAAUGUAAAGUAACCCAAGUAGUGCUUAGCAUUCUAAAUCAGGAUCUUCAACAAAGAACAAAUACAAUUCUUUGCCAGUAUCUGGGAAAUGACAGGACAAAGGAAAGUGAUUUUAGGUUUCCAAAGAGGGAAACUCUCA